CAUCCGUAAUUCAAUUCAGAAUCAUUAUCUUCUUUUCUAAAGCUCUCCUUUUCAAGUUUCCACUGUCUCUCUCUCGCUGUUGUAUUCAGUUAUUUUUAGAGUUGUAAUCAGACGCCAUGGAACGUGCUCGAAGCAAAACGCGCAUAAAAUUUAAUUCUGUAAAACGGGGAUAAAAUUGGUCACGCGAUUGGUUAAAUUUCGAAACUUUUGCCGCGAACCGUCGCCGAAAUCGAAUUUGAUGCUUCUGAUUGGUGUUCUAUACGCGUCAUCAGUGCUUCUUGUAGUAGUUAUCGCAAAUUCGAGUCAAGCUGGAGACGCGGUCGCGGUCGGUGCAUUAUAAGUCCGUAGUGUGUUAAAGAGGUAGGAUGUUUUGUUCGCGUCUUUUAAAUUCGACUUGCCGAGCUAACUUUUUCGCAGAAGUAGUUUUAUAUUUUUCUACGUGAAAGAUUCAAGAUAAACGAGUGAGGAGAUUGAAGAUCAUUUUGAUGCUACGGAAAAAACAAGUCGUCUCCCUCCUAAGGUGUUUUAUCUGUUAACUUUUCAUCUUGGAGGCUCUUAUAGUUAAUUAAUUAAGAGGAACAUCAGAAGAACUCCAGAUGCCAUUAAAUUAUGGACCAUUGGUUGUGUUAGUUAUCAAUUGCUCCGGAAAGUAGUUGUACCUAUGGCCCUAAAAAAAGCAUAAAAAUACCAUUCUUCCAUUGGGAAUGGAGACAGUGUGCUGUUGCUGAAAAAGGGAUUUAUGACAGUGAACUGGUAUGUAACAGUAUCAAUUAAAAGUAGUGGGUGAGGGAGGUCCCAGAAACUUAAAUUUCUUAGACAUUUGAAACUUGCUUCAAUACACAGUGUUUAAACAUUUCAGAAAUGGCAUAUGCAGAACAGCAGAAUUAAUAUGGAACUGAUCUUUUCGUCAAUCUGAAUUUUACUGAUUUACUUGCUUUAAAAAUGGUAAUUAAUUACUUUUUCUUGCCCGUUUCUAUAGAUUGUCCAACGGUAAGAAAGAAUUGCAGUUAAUUAUGGUGCUAACGAAGCAAUCGAUGCUUUUAAUGUCUUCACUUUACAAUAUUAUGCAGUUAGUUUUGGUCAUGGGAGGCAAUUGGAAAUUAAUUUGGGAGCCACUGAAACAACAAGUUGUCUUCAGUGGUAUUCCUCUUAUAUUUGUUUCAUGGCUCAUCAUACUGGUAGACUUUAGAAUUACUUUCUACAGUUAGUUAAGGUGAAAAUACAAGACGUGCUUCAUGCAGUAACUUUCUUGAGGAGAUUGAAGUUCAUUUUGAUGCUACUGAAAAAACAAGUUGUCUCCAUUCUAUGGUGUUUUAUCUCUUAACUUUUCAUCUUGGGGACUCUUGCAGUUAAUUAAUUAAGAUUGUUGCAACAAAUUAGGAGGAACUGGUGGUAUUGAAACAAGCGAUGCUUUUGAUGUUUUCACUUUGCAACAUUAUGCAGUUAGUUUUGGCCAUGAGAACGGGAGGCAAUUGGAAAUUAAUUUGAAAGCCACUGAAACAACAAAUUGUCUGCAGUGGUAUCCCUCCUAUAUUUGGUUUGCUCAUCACACUGGUAGACUUUAGAACGCUACAUUCUACAGUUAGUCAAGAUCGUUCAACAAAUAAGAGGGAGUUGAAAGUUCAAUUUGGUCGUACUAAAACAACCAUUGUCUACAUGGGUGUGGUCUUUGGUGAACUAUAUUCUUGAUUUGCUGUUUUCGUCUUCACUCUACAUUAUUAUGCA